CGCGUAGGCUGGAUGAUCAGUCUAGGGUGAAAACUUGCGGCUUAACCGUAAGCCUGCCUUGGAUACUGUCAUUCUUGAGUUCGGAAGAGGGAAGUGGAAUUCCUGGUGUAGCGGUGAAAUGCGUAGAUAUCAGGAAGAACACCGGUGGCGAAGGCGGCUUCCUGGUCCGAUACUGACGCUGAGGCGCGAAAGCGUGGGGAGCGAACAGGAUUAGAUACCCUGGUAGUCC
rnacentral:rRNA from 1 species